AUGAACGCUGGCGGCGUGCCUAAUACAUGCAAGUCGAACGCACAGCGAAAGGUGCUUGCACCUUUCAAGUGAGUGGCGAACGGGUGAGUAACACGUGGAUAACCUACCUCAAGGUUGGGGAUAACAUUUGGAAACAGAUGCUAAUACCGAAUAAAACUUAGUAUCGCAUGAUACCAGGUUAAAAGGCGCUACGGCGUCACCUAGAGAUGGAUCCGCGGUGCAUUAGUUAGUUGGUGGGGUAAAGGCUUACCAAGACAAUGAUGCAUAGCCGAGUUGAGAGACUGAUCGGCCACAUUGGGACUGAGACACGGCCCAAACUCCUACGGGAGGCUGCAGUAGGGAAUCUUCCACAAUGGGCGAAAGCCUGAUGGAGCAACGCCGCGUGUGUGAUGAAGGCUUUCGGGUCGUAAAGCACUGUUGUAUGGGAAGAACAGCUAGAGUAGGGAAUGACUUUAGUUUGACGGUACCAUACCAGAAAGGGACGGCUAAAUACGUG
rnacentral:rRNA from 1 species